CAACACUCAAGAUUUAUCCCUAUCCUUCCAUAAAUCUCUACCCUUCAUUUUACAAUGGCAUUUUGGUAGAUACUUGAUCCGUCCAAGGGUUACCAUAAACGGCUUUUUGUGGGAAACCCUACCCGCAUCGUUAUUCUCAUCCUUCACACUCCCGUUGUCCUUUUUUUCUUUUUCUUUUUGGGAAAAAUCACUUUCCGGCUAUCUCCCUCUCCCUCCCUCUCUCUUUGUUCGAUCGACCCACCACCAUAGACCCACCACAUCCCUCUCUCCCUCCUACCUACAACACCACCGCAAGCCCUCGAAAACCGAAUCCCAAUCGCUCCUCUCUGGCGAUCCCGAUUCGACACCACUAACACCACCGACCGGCGCGACAAGUCACCUCUGGAACCACCGCCGUUCGAGGUUCUCAGGGUUCGAAUCGAUGGCAUGUAGUUCUUCUUCACCCCAAAAGGUUUGUAUUUCUUCACAUCUUUCACUAAAAAAAAAGUACGGGUUUAGGGUUUGUUCAUUCCCAUGGCAUAGACCGAAAGAACACCGAUUACCUACAUGAUUCAUGUUGUCGUAGGUAUGAGUACUUCUCAGGUUAUGGUUGUUCUCUCUCCAAGGGAUUUCUUCUACCGCCAACUGUGGCCGAUCGAACUUUGCGCUCACCCAAGUAGCGGGAACAACCGAGGUCAAAGGUGGAGAAACUGAAAGUGGAGCAAUGUAGGUAUACUUGAGGAAAAAUGGGUUGAGGUAGACUGGGAACAAAGACACCCACAUUGGGCGCAUUAAAGAGCAUCUAAGGUGAUGCAUGCAAAGGGGAUUUGGUGGCUGUCCUCAUCAAAUUUCCCUUGGGUGCAGCUGAAGAAAACCAUUUGACACCUUCAAAUUGCAGCUUGAAACACCUCUAGGCAAUAAGAACAGCAUCAGAACUUGCCACCAAAGAAGACAAUAGUAGCAGUAGAAAUGAGCACGGAAGAGCCCAAUAGCAGCAACAGAAAAGGACACCAUAUGGAAGUCCAUAUGCAGCAAAAGUGACAACCGAAUUUGAGACCAAAGAGUAACAAGAGCAACAACACAACAACAACAAACCACAACAAAUGUACUUCACACUUAACAACAUACUUUGCAGAAAAGGUAUGAUUGUCACCUUUAUGGUGUGAGUUUCUCCUAUAUGAGCAAGUGUUUUUAGGUAAAAUUGUGGCUACAUGAUGUAGUUAACUUAUCAAGAUUGUUCCUCGGGGAUUUAUUUGUUCCUUAAAGCUAGAAUCGUGUAGGAUCAAUUGUUGGCUUCAAAAUGGAGAGGAGAUGUACCUUAAGGCUUCAGUCACAGUAGAAUACUUGGUGUUGCUUAUUGACCCUUUUGUAGCUUUGUCAAGCUGACCCUUUCAUUUAAUUGUGUUCUCUAUAUUGGAAUUUGUAGGUGUUUCAUGAUAGUCGUUUAUUUUUCUUCAAUCGUGAAUUGAAACUAUCUUAGGUUGGUUGAUUCAUGUACAAAAUUGUGAUGCGUCAUCGUGAUCAAUGUGCCAAGUUGAAUACUUACAUCCUUUUGAGUACUACACUCAUGAAUUAGAUGGCUUUAAAUUGGGCAUUGUUUCCAGAAGUUUAGUACUAGCCUAUACUUAUGAUCUCCCCGAACAUCUCCUUGUCAUUCCUUUAGGCACGGGCGAUUUCAUGAAUAUGCUUGGGUCAUUAUUUUUUGCAUAGUUGAAUUUGUUGGACAGGGGUUGAUAUAUUGUGCAUGAGUCCAGUGUUUAUUUGCUUGUGUCGAUCAUUCGAGCUGUGUCUUCAGGCACGGGCAUGCACUAGUGUGUGUGUGUGUGUGUGUGUGUAUAUAUAUAUAUAUAUAUAUAUAUCAGAGCGGUUCUCUGGACAUCUAUAAAAAUAUCUAAAAAAACUUCUCAUAAUUCCUGAUCAAAUUUCAAUGAUUCGAGUUGCUCAAUGUGAUCAGAACGUGAUUUUAAGGGUACCCGUGAGAAAUCAGCAAAAAAAAUGACCUGGAAGGGCUUGAUCUGAACAGUUCCGAAUAGUUUUUUAUUGAACGGUUCAAAUAAAAACUGCUCAAAUCAAGCCUUUCCCGGUCAUUUUUUUUGUUAAUUUCUAGCGGGCACCGUUAAAAUCACAUUCUACACACAUUGAAUGGUUUGGAUCAUAAAAAUUUGAUCGGAAACUAUGAAAUUGAGAUUUGAGAUGUUUUUUUAAAUGUCCCCGGAACUGCCCCGUGU